rnacentral:tRNA from 1 species
GGGGAUUUAGCUCAGCGGCAUAAGCGCCUGCCUUGCAAGCAGGUAACCGUGAAUUCGAUCCCUG